AUUGAACGCUGGCGGCAUGCCUUACACAUGCAAGUCGAACGGUAACGCGGGGCAACCUGGCGACGAGUGGCGAACGGGUGAGUAAUGCAUCGGAACGUGCCCAGUAGUGGGGGAUAGCCCGGCGAAAGCCGGAUUAAUACCGCAUACGACCUACGGGAGAAAGCGGGGGCCAGCAAGGCGUCGCGCUAUUGGAGCGGCCGCUGUCAGAUUAGGUAGUUGGUGGGGUACAGGCCUACCAAGCCUACGAUCUGUAGCUGGUCUGAGAGGACGACCAGCCACACUGGGACUGAGACACGGCCCAGGCUCCUACGGGAGGCAGCAGUGGGGAAUUUUGGACAAUGGGGGCAACCCUGAUCCAGCCAUGCCGCGUGCGGGAAGAAGGCCUUCGGGUUGUAAACCGCUUUUGUCGGGGAAGAAACGCUCCGGGCUAAUACCCUGGAGUAAUGACGGUACCCGAAGAAUAAGCACCGGCUAACUACGUGCCAGCCGCCGCCGUAAGAC
rnacentral:rRNA from 1 species